UACGAAGGGGGCUAGCGUUGUUCGGAAUCACUGGGCGUAAAGCGCACGUAGGCGGAUCUUUAAGUCAGGGGUGAAAUCCUGGAGCUCAACUCCAGAACUGCCUUUGAUACUGGGGAUCUCGAGUCCGGGAGAGGUGAGUGGAACUCCGAGUGUAGAGGUGAAAUUCGUAGAUAUUCGGAAGAACACCAGUGGCGAAGGCGGCUCACUGGCCCGGUACUGACGCUGAGGUGCGAAAAGCGUGGGGAGCAAACAGGG
rnacentral:rRNA from 1 species